rnacentral:sRNA from 1 species
GGAUGCAGCAAUGUAUCCGAGUGGCGACCGGGUGCGUAACACGUAGCUGACCUGCCCUCCAGCGGGGGACAACAGACCGAAAGGUCUGCUAAUACCGCAUAGACUCUUGGGGACUAGAAGCCCACGAGGAAACUCACGGGGCUGGAGGAGGGGGCUGCGGCCCAUCAGGUAGUUGGUGAGGUAGUGGCUCACCAAGCCGACGACGGGUAGGGGGCCUGAGAGGGUGGUCCCCCACACUGGGACUGACACACGGCCCAGACUCCUACGGGAGUCUCCAGUGGGUAUUUCUAGAAAUCUCCUACAAAUUUCAG